rnacentral:rRNA from 1 species
CUACGGGGUGCAGCAGUGGGGAAUAUUGGACAAUGGGGGAAACCCUGAUCCAGCAAUGCCGCGUGUGUGAAGAAGGCCUGCGGGUUGUAAAGCACUUUCGGUUGGGAGGACUGCUUCUAGCACUAAUAUUGUUGGAAGUUGACGUUACCUUCAGAAGAAGCACCGGCUAACUCCGUGCCAGCAGCCGCGGUAAUACGGUGGGUGCAAGUGUUAAUCGGAAUUACUGGGCGUAAAGCGCGCGUAGGCGGCUAGAUCAGUCGGGUGUGAAAGCCCCGGGCUUAACCUGGGAACUGCAUCCGAUACUGUCUAGCUUGAGUACAGGAGAGGAGAGUGGAAUUCCACAUGUAGCGGUGAAAUGCGUAGAUAUGUGGAGGAACACCAAUGGCGAAGGCAGCUCUCUGGCCUGAUACUGACGCUGAGGUGCGAAAGCGUGGGGAGCAAACAGGAUUAGAUACCCCGGUAGUC